rnacentral:lncRNA from 1 species
GCGAGAGUGGACAGCCAGGGGAACAGUGACGCGAGUUCCCAUGAGAUGGGGCAUUUAGUGGCAAUUUCGAGAUGUGGCACCUUCUUUUGAAGGGGUGAAAUCCUGGUAUAACCUUGUUCCUGGAAACCGACUGUGUUGCAACGUGGUGUAAACGCCUGGCCGGGCUUGUGGUGACAGCAGCGUAAGACGCCACACCGAAGUCGUCCAGCACGCGAGGCCAGCGCCUCUUCAGAUGCUCGGGAAGAUCAUGUGGCACAGAAAGCACGUCAAAAAAGGCGGAAAAGUGUGUGGGCACAACAGGAGCAAAAGUAAGAGGUCGGGUCGUGAGGAGGACGGGGUACGCAACCGGUCGCCGGCAGAACGGCCCGAACCUCCCGCCGGCAGAACGGCCCGAACCUCCCGCCGGCAGAACGGCCCGAACCUCCCGCCGGCUGAAAAGGCGUUAGAGAGAAUCUCUUCUUCCCCAAACAGGGAACAGAAGAAUAUUCGCCUGGCCGUAGCAGUCGUUUAUCCCAAUGUGAAGGCCAGGGCUCCCUUACACUUGGAGGCUCUCGCGUUUUGCCUCUCAACUGGUCGAACCGUUCUCCAAUUCACCUCCCGGUGUUCUGUCCUCUAUUCGGCUUCACAUCCACCGCUUCUAAUUUUCUCAAACAGCUGAGACGCUGUUUGACGCCGAUCACCUGCCGAUCUUAUGUAGGGCUGUAGCUACGCUGAUGGACGGGCACCGCGUUCGUAAUAGGGAGCGGUCGUAUCUGCUCACUGAACGCAGUGGAGCAACCGAGUUGUGAUUGACCCUUGGUGACGACCGGACAUAAAGAACAGUACGCCGCCGGACUCUUUUUCAGUUUCUCGGUACACGCGUGUAAAUUCUGUGCACAAUCUUCCAGACCGCCAUUGGUUAUGGCCAGAGCCGCUGCGUUUUCAUCUAUUCGUGCCGAAAGUCCUUCCCUGCGAUACUGUCGCACGACCAGAAAGUCCUGCUCGGUGUGUCGGUCAUUUCCUGAGGAGCUCUGAUUAUCGUUCACGGUUGAGAAAGCGAAAUGAUUGUCUUUGGUCUAACUGCGUCACUCUCAUAGUACUCAGACGAGGGUUGUUCUCCCAGCUGGUACUGCUCUAAUGGAGCAAGCAACGUCAGUGGAGUGGCGCUACCUUUAGUUAUUUCAGUUACUGCGGUGACAGGUGUCAGGCUGUGACGGCAUAAAGUUUAUACCAAUGUUCUUGAAAAACUUCGGUGUGUCCACAUGCGCAGCAAGACGAGCAAAUGGAUGUUGUCCUAACUAGAGAUCAAAUCAUCUG